rnacentral:lncRNA from 1 species
GUUCUCAUUUUAGUUGUUUUGUUGUGAAUCUUUUGAAGAUCCUUCCAUCUUAUCAAAUUUUGCCCUCUUUUUGACCGAAGUGCUGCCAAAAUUUUGUUUGUGUUCUAACUUGUUCUUCAUGUCAUUCUUCAUAUCUUUGCAUCCUUCAAGAUUCAUUGGUUUCACUCAUUUUCCAAGAAGCAACUAAGCUAUAAUGUUUGCUCUUUAUCCUAAUCUUCCCCUUUUGAUUCUUAGAUCUCGGGGGGAGAUCUCUUGUAAGUGUAGGAGAGUUGUAAGAGCCCGAGUCCGAUGCCCCACAAGAUUCCCCUUUUAUUCGUUUUUGUCGUGUGAUUAUUUUAUUUGUUGCAUUCAUCAUUGCAUCAUUCGCAUCGUCUGCAUUGC